GGGACUUCUGAGACGGUGCUGAUUUUGGUGCCUUCAGGUGUUGUGGACAAAAUGGGAACUUCUUCAACAUGAUUACUACACGAACCACACAAAGAGAAGUAGCCGAUACAUGAUGCUAUCUUUGUAAAUGAUUCAACAAAACUGGGUGUGGAGCAAUUAAAAUGGCGAGGCAACCACUGGACUGUCACCUCUGUGACACCUGGACUGCAGCCUUUACGUUUCUGAUACUACAAUGUUGUGAGUAGUAGUUUGUAUAAAUGAAGUGUAUCACCCAUCUACUGUAUUACUUGCAUAGCAGUGGUAGAUAAGGUGGAUGAAUUAUGGCCUUAAGUCUGUGAUCAUUACAAAGCAUAGGAGCCUAAUAAUUAUACUCUAUGUAUUUUUCGGUAAGGGCCCCUACACUUUGACCCAUGUACUAUCUUAUAUCCAAGGCUUGGUGGUCUGUAUAUGGAAUUGAUUAUAUAAGCAUGGAAUGUGUGUAACAUUUAUUAGACAAAUAGUAAAUUAGGUACACUGAAUUAUGUGCUUUGCCCUCCAGCAAGUGCUUCCACAUAACAUUAACAUAACUUCUUAUGUUGACUUACCUCCUGUGUAGUAGCCCCAAGCAUAAGAAAACCUGCUCGUCACCCAAAUAGCACCCAGCACAGAUGCUGAUAACUGAGAAUAUGAACAAAGAGAAUUACAAAACAGCCGAGAAACACAAUUUAAUUCGAUGAAAAUAUGCUUAAUCACUGUGACACUGUCUUUUUGGGCAUGACUCUGUUAUCUGCAGGAUUUAAGGCAAAGAUCAUCAGGAGUGCCCGCCCCUCCCAAACGCCUGACAUAUGUCUGUUUUUCCUAGCCCUUAAUACGCACACACACGCUAGUACGGCCAAGUAAUACAGACAACUCACACUAACUAAUUAAUGCAUAUAAUAUAUAUAAUAUAUAUAUAUAUAUAUAUACAUAAAUACGCAAAAAUGACACAUACCGGGUAGACAAGAGCUGCAAUGGUCUGGAAAACAAGCCACUGUGGGUACACCUCCAGGGUGUUCUGGUGUGCUCUCUGGAUACAGUUGAAUACCUGCUCCUUGUCACUGUACAUAGUGGGAUACUGCAAAUGCAAAGAGGUCGCAACAUUAACCAGAGGCACACACUGCAAAUACUUCCAAUAUAGUUAGCAACAUGCAGUAUUCACUUUACGCCUUGUUUUCCACAGUUUCCACUUAAGUCACAUUUCAACUACCUUAACGUCGUACUUCUUCCUGGCGGCCCCAACCUUGACUCCUAAAUACACCAGCAUAAUCCAGCUGUAGAGGAAGGUGAAUAUA